GUGAAAGUAUAUGGAAUGGCAAGGUGAACUAUAUAGGCUCUUAAUUCAAUCUCACUACUUUCUAUUACUAGAGAACUGGUCAGCAUCUUCUGGCAGGAUAUUGCAUAAAACAGUCAACUGUGCUCUCCCAGCAUUGCAUGUGGCUUUGGGUAACAAUGUGGAUUAUCUGUAAAAUGAAACAGGGAAAAGGCAAGAAUCAUCAAGACUACCACAAACUUUAUUGACAAAAACUAAUAUUAGUAGGCCUUUACUCAAGCAGAACUUUUCACUUUUGCCCAUCCACCGAAGAUCGCAAAGAUCCUAAAGCAAUAUGGCUGAUCCCAUCAGUUCAUAACAUCCAUCCUUCAUCAUUGAGCAAAGCCGCAAAACAGAUCCAGCUUGAUUCAAUCUAUUUUACUUUCUAAGCUUUAGGACACACAACCUAGAAUCCUGUACCAAAGGCACUUCUAGUCCUUCAAAAAUUUCCUUUUAGUUCUGAAAUUAUGAAUUCCUGAGAUGGCCUGCCACGAGGCUUUAUCUUGCUCAAGGCUGUGCUAUGAUAUACACAUAAGGAAAUAAAAGGAUCACUGCCUGCUUUACAAAUUGAUAAGCCUGAAGACUAAGAAAAUGUAAAAACCUACAUUAAAGAAACCCAAAAUUCUGCCAGGUAUUUUUACUAGCAGUAGAAAGCUGAAAACUAUCACUGAUAUCUACUUAUCUGAGCCAUUCAAAGUCACAAAGUGGGGAAGUGAUCCCAAGGGACCAACUAAAACAUCACAAUAGCUCUGUUGCUGCUCUGUGGUUCUGGUAUUUCAAGAAGAAAUAACAUUUGAUAACUGCCAACACUUGGAACUACACAUAGUAAGAAAUCUGAUUUCACCUGCCCAACCAUUUGUUUCUUCCCAUAUUCCCCCCAUGUUUUUUAAUGGCACCACCAUCCUCAUGGUUCCCCAGGCUUAUGAACUCUGAAUCAUGUUCAAAGCCUCUCUUACUUCUGCCAAGCAACCAGAAUUUGUGUUUUUUUUUUUUCCUACAGUGCCUCUCUAUGCACGUGUAGUCACCUAAUCACAGGACCUCAUCCAAAAGCUAUUCCACCUAUCUUUAUAUUUGAUACAAAUUCUAUAAACCGAUGUGUCUUCUCAUCCUUUCUCCCAAAUUAGAUACAGUUGGGAAUCGGUGAAGAGGGAAAGGGGAGGAGAGUUCUUAUACCUGUGAUCAAAUUUCAUAGCCAUUUCAACAGAGCUGUUUAACAAACUUUUUCUGAGCACAAGAAUAGCUAGACACAGAGCCAAGAAAAGAAGAGGCAAUGAUGGAAGCCAAAAACAGGUGAGCUACAAUCUUUCCACUCCUACACAAAACCUGGCCCUAGAGUAUGAACCCUUGCAUAUGCUGAUAACUUCUUCCAAUUCUUAAUUUUGCAACAUUCCUAUAUUCACAAACUCUGCCCCUGGGGUGGCUUUCCCACUUUCCAAUGCCAGUUUUCCUACUGCCCUCAUAACCUUAAGCCUAGUUAGUCUCCUCUAUCUUGAGACUCUUCUCCCAAUUCAUCUGAUACUCUAGAGGACUCUUCUGCAAAUCCUGUUCUCUUCCUAAUACAAGAAACUAUAAGCAGAUGCAAGAUCUCUUAUCCAGCCUCCCCAGAGGAUUCUCAACACAAAGGCUACUUUUAAUUUCCUUGAAGUUUUAUGAUCUUAGAGACCAGAGCAAGGGGAGUGAUAUGAAGAAUGCUGAGAGUGCAAGUUGCUGACUGAAGACAGCUGCUGGGAAUCCCCAAGUACUGUGGCAAGGGGUGUGGUGGUGACAGCAACGGGUUUCAGAACAACCAACUCAGUCACUGAUGGCUUUUACAGAACAACUGACAACUGGGGACAUGCCUGCCUUCUUUUCUAUCCGUAAGAUACGACAUCAGAUUGUCUUCCAAUGGGAAUCAACAUUGUUAAAAAAAACAACUAUAUUAUACGUUCAAAAUGACUCAAUUGUUCAGACAGUGUUUUGCUUUUAUAAGAAAAACUAUACAUUAUGACCAGAGAAUGCAAGUUAGUACCAUUAUGUUAGUGUGGAUAAGGAAAUCUGUCUUGGCCUCAUGGCAUCAUCUGCGAUAGACAGACACAUCUUCUGGCUAUUCUGGUCAAUCUUCAUCAGAAAACAUAUAACAGAAAUAUAAUGGCUUAUGUUUAAAAUGCAAAUUUAAUAUCAUUUUAACCUGAGCAGCACUAUCAAAUCAUCUUUUUGAUAGUGCAAUAGGAUUGCUACAGUUCUGUUGAAACAAAAUGCCUACUCCCCAACACAACCCAAUUCCUCCCAAGCACACUGAAAAACAGUAACUUGACUACGGUGGCAAGACGAGAAAGAGUUAACUGUUCAAACACCUCUUCAGAGUCUCAAAAUCUGCAUAUGUGGGAGUGGAUUUUUUUAAAAUACAUUUUAUUAAUUGCAAUUUAAAACCACACUUACUGAUGUACUUUAAUAAUAAAGAAUCUUCUACGUGC